rnacentral:rRNA from 1 species
GACGAACGCUGGCGGCAUGCUUAACACAUGCAAGUCGAACGGGAAGUCCUCUUUCGGGGGGUACUCGGGUGGCGAACGGGUGAGUACCACGUGUGUGACCUGCAAUUGCCUCUGGAAUAACUUCCGGAAACUGGGGCUAAUACCGGACAGGAGCUCAUGCUGCCUGGUGGGGGUUGGCAAGUUUCGGAGGUUGGGGAUGGAAUCGCGGCUUAUCAGCUUGUUGGUGGGGUAGUGGCUUACCAAGGAUUUGGCGGGUCGCCGGCCGGAGAGGGUGACCGGCCACAGUGGGACUGAGAUAGAGCCCAGACUCCUACGGGAGGGAGCAGGGGGGGAUAUUGCACAAUGGGUGGGAGCCAGAUGCAGCGACGCCUGGUGCGUGAUGACGGCCUUCGGGUUGGAAGCCGCUUUCUCUCAUGACGGAGCUUAGAGUGACGGUAGCGGGUAAAGAAGCACCGGCUAACUACGUG